rnacentral:rRNA from 1 species
UGAAUUGACGGGUCCCCGCACAAGCAGCGGAGCGUGUGGUUUAAUUCGUUUGCUACACGAAGAACCUUACCUGGGUUUGACAUAGCAGUGGUAGGGAAGCGAAACUGGACGACCCUUCGGGGAGCUUGUACAGGUGCUGCAUGGCUGUCGUCAGCUCGUGUCGUGAGAUGUUCGGUUAAGUCCGCUAACGAGCGCAACCCUCGCUGUGUGUUACAAGUGUCACACGGAACUGCCGGUCAUAAACCGGAGGAAGGUGGGGAUGACGUCAAGUCAGCAUGGCCUUUAUAUCCUGGGCUACGCACACGCUACAAUGGGAAGGGACAAUAGGUUGCGAAGCCGCGAGGCGGAGCCAAUCCAGCAAAACUUCCCUCAGUUCAGAUUGCAGGCUGCAACUCGCCUGCAUGAAGUUGGAGUUGCUAGUAAACGCAGGUCAGCCAUACUGCGUUGAAUACGUUCCCGGGGCUU